GGGGGUGGAUGGCGCCUGGUGGUGCUCCUGGUCUUCAAAACCAGUCGUUGGGCUGAUGAGGUCCAUGGUGAGUUCGAUUCUCACACACUCCCGCCA
rnacentral:tRNA from 2 species